AUCAGACAAGACUACCCGCUGAACUUAAGCAUAUCAAUAAGCGGAGGAAAAGAAACUAACAAGGAUUCCCCUAGUAACGGCGAGUGAAGCGGGAAGAGCUCAAAUUUGAAAUCUCACAGGUCCUCUGUGCGAAUUGUAGUUUAAAGAAGUAUUUACGGAGUCAACCCAGGCAUAAGUCCUUUGGAACAGGGCAUCAUAGAAGGUGAGAAUCCUGUAUGGUUCUGGCUUUGGUCCUAUGUGAUACAUUUUCAAAGAGUCGGGUUGUUUGGGAAUGCAGCCCAAAAUGGGUGGUAAAUACCAUCUAAAGCUAAAUAUUGGCGAGAGACCGAUAGCGAACAAGUACCGUGAGGGAAAGAUGAAAAGAACUUUGAAAAGAGAGUUAAACAGUACGUGAAAUUGUUGAUAGGGAAACGAUUGAAGUCAGUCAUGCCGGUGAGAAAUCAGCUUACAGGCUACUGUGGGUGCACUUUUUCGCAAGGCAGGUUAACAUCGGUUUUUGUUGCGUUAUAAUGAUUGUAGGAAGGUGGCUUCUUCGGGAGUGUUAUAGCCUACUUUAGAUGGCGCGACGAAGACUGAGGAUUGCAGCGAAUGCCUUUGGCUACGGAUCUUUUCUCUGUCGAUCUUCAAUUGAUCGUCAGCUUGCUGACGAGCGGUUGAUGGGUUUACAAUAGGAUGGAAUUCGAUAAAUUCGCUAAGGAUGUUGACGUAAUGGCUUUAAACGACCCGUCUUGAAACACGGACCAAGGAGUCUAACAUAUGUGCGAGUGUU
rnacentral:rRNA from 1 species